rnacentral:rRNA from 1 species
AGUGAACGCUGGCGGUAGGCCUAACACAUGCAAGUCGAACGGCAGCACAGUAAGAGCUUGCUCUUGCGGGUGGCGAGUGGCGGACGGGUGAGGAAUACAUCGGAAUCUACUUUUUCGUGGGGGAUAACGUAGGGAAACUUACGCUAAUACCGCAUACGACCUACGGGUGAAAGCAGGGGAUCUUCGGACCUUGCGCGAUUGAAUGAGCCGAUGUCGGAUUAGCUAGUUGGCGGGGUAAAGGCCCACCAAGGCGACGAUCCGUAGCUGGUCUGAGAGGAUGAUCAGCCACACUGGAACUGAGACACGGUCCAGACUCCUACGGGAGGCAGCAGUGGGGAAUAUUGGACAAUGGGCGGAAGCCUGAUCCAGCCAUACCGCGUGGGUGAAGAAGGCCUUCGGGUUGUAAAGCCCUUUUGUUGGGAAAGAAAAGCAGCAGGUUAAUACCCCGCUGUUCUGACGGUACCCAAAGAAUAAGCACCGGCUAACUUCGUG